rnacentral:rRNA from 1 species
UUGCUUUCUUUGCUGGCGACCGGCGCACGGGUGGGUAACACGUAUCCAACCUGCCCUUUACUCGGGGAUAGCCUUUCGAAAGAAAGAUUAAUACCCGAUAGUAUAAUGAUUCCGCAUGGUUUCAUUAUUAAAGGAUUCCGGUAAAGGAUGGGGAUGCGUUCCAUUAGGUUGUUGGUGAGGUAACGGCUCACCAAGCCUUCGAUGGAUAGGGGUUCUGAGAGGAAGGUCCCCCACAUUGGAACUGAGACACGGUCCAA